GUAGUCUCGCACAGAUGCAUAUCAAUAAGCGGAGGAAAAGAAACUAACAAGGAUUCCCCUAGUAACGGCGAGUGAAGCGGGAAGAGCUCAAAUUUGAAAUCUUAAAGGGUUUCCCUUUACGAAUUGUAGUUUAAAGAAGUGUUUUCUGUUGAGGUUUUGGUAAAAGUUCUUUGGAAUAGGACAUCAUAGAGGGUGAGAAUCCCGUAUUUGACCUUUACUUACAACUUUGUGAUACACUUUCAAAGAGUCGGAUUGUUUGGGAAUGCAGUCCAAAAUGGGUGGUAAAUUUCAUCUAAAGCCUAAAUAUUGGCGAGAGACCGAUAGCGAACAAGUACCGUGAGGGAAAGAUGAAAAGAACUUUGAAAAGAGAGUUAAACAGUACGUGAAAUUGUCAAAAGGGAAGCGUUUGACACCAGUGUUGUUUUUUCUGAAAAUCAAUUAAAGAACUGUUUAUGCUAAGCUGUUUAGACUUUAUCAGCUAUCUGUUUAGUUUUGAGCUUUUCUUUAAUGCACUUUUCAGUUAACAAGUCAACAUCAAUUUCUUUUGCUGUAAAAAAGCUUGAGGAAGGUGGCUUGAGAUUCGUCUUAAGUGUUUAUAGCCUCUUGCCUAUGCAGUCGGAGAGAUUGAGGUCUGCAGCGUAGAUCCUUCGGGGCUAAAUGCAUUUGUGCUAAGUUAUAGCAUUUUAUAGACAACUUGUUGACUAUGAUUUGUCUUGUAGCUUACUCGCUUAUGUUAUUUUACCUACGCUUAGGAUGUUGACGCAUGAGAUAUACGC
rnacentral:rRNA from 1 species